AUUAAAUCUUGCCUUUAGUGCAUCCAAUGUCCCAAAUAUACAUCAAGCGAUAAACUGGAGCACUCAAUAAAUUUGAGUGCUCCAGUUUAUCGCUUGAGAUAUAUAUAUAUAUAUACAUAUAUAUAUUUAUUUUUUAAUUUUUUUUAAUUGAGGUAGCCCCCAAAAUAUUGGGACAUAUAAAAAAAAGACAACUCUGUUCCGCAGAGUAGCUGUUGACAUUAUAGUUGCGCAGGCACUUUGUUGACUCUAGAGAACCUCGGGCCAAUCGCACAUCCCCAUGGCGACGACUUUGCAUGCAGAUGUCAUCCAUAUCAACUUUCGAUGCCAGUUUCUGCGCCUACCAUGGUGACCACGGGAAAUGGGGAGUCAGAGUUCCAUUCCGUACAGGGACCCUGAGAAACGGCUACCACAUGCAAGGAAGGCAGCAGGCA